rnacentral:rRNA from 1 species
GACGAACGCUGGCGGCGUGCUUAACACAUGCAAGUCGAACGGAAAGGCCCUGCUUUUGUGGGGUGCUCGAGUGGCGAACGGGUGAGUAACACGUGAGUAACCUGCCCUUGACUUUGGGAUAACUUCAGGAAACUGGGGCUAAUACCGGAUAGGAGCUCCUGCUGCAUGGUGGGGGUUGGAAAGUUUCGGCGGUUGGGGAUGGACUCGCGGCUUAUCAGCUUGUUGGUGGGGUAGUGGCUUACCAAGGCUUUGACGGGUAGCCGGCCUGAGAGGGUGACCGGCCACAUUGGGACUGAGAUACGGCCCAGACUCCUACGGGAGGCAGCAGUGGGGAAUAUUGCACAAUGGGCGGAAGCCUGAUGCAGCAACGCCGCGUGCGGGAUGACGGCCUUCGGGUUGUAAACCGCUUUCGCCUGUGACGAAGCGUGAGUGACGGUAAUGGGUAAAGAAGCACCGGCUAACUACGUGCCAGCAGCCGCGGUGAUACGUAGGUGCGAGCGUUGUCCGGAUUUAUUGGGCGUAAAGGGCUCGUAGGUGGUUGAUCGCGUCGGAAGUGUAAUCUUGGGGCUUAACCCUGAGCGUGCUUUCGAUACGGGUUGACUUGAGGAAGGUAGGGGAGAAUGGAAUUCCUGGUGGAGCGGUGGAAUGCGCAGAUAUCAGGAGGAACACCAGUGGCGAAGGCGGUUCUCUGGGCCUUUCCUGACGCUGAGGAGCGAAAGCGUGGGGAGCGAACAGGCUUAGAUACCCUGGUAGUCCACGCUGUAAACGGUGGGUACUAGGUGUGGGGUCCAUUCCACGGGUUCCGUGCCGUAGCUAACGCUUUAAGUACCCCGCCUGGGGAGUACGGCCGCAAGGCUAAAACUCAAAGGAAUUGACGGGGCCCCGCACAAGCGGCGGAGCAUGCGGAUUAAUUCGAUGCAACGCGUAGAACCUUACCUGGGUUUGACAUGGAUCGGGAGUGCUCAGAGAUGGGUGUGCCUCUUUUGGGGUCGGUUCACAGGUGGUGCAUGGCUGUCGUCAGCUCGUGUCGUGAGAUGUUGGGUUAAGUCCCGCAACGAGCGCAACCCUUGUUCACUGUUGCCAGCACGUUAUGGUGGGGACUCAGUGGAGACCGCCGGGGUCAACUCGGAGGAAGGUGGGGAUGACGUCAAGUCAUCAUGCCCCUUAUGUCCAGGGCUUCACGCAUGCUACAAUGGCUGGUACAGAGAGUGGCGAGCCUGUGAGGGUGAGCGAAUCUCGGAAAGCCGGUCUCAGUUCGGAUUGGGGUCUGCAACUCGACCUCAUGAAGUCGGAGUCGCUAGUAAUCGCAGAUCAGCAACGCUGCGGUGAAUACGUUCCCGGG